GGCGGCGUAGCCAAGCGGUAAGGUGAGGGUCUGCAACACCCUUGUGCAGUGGUUCGACUCCACUCGCCGCCUCCA
rnacentral:tRNA from 1 species